CAAACACAAACACAACCACAAAUACAACCAGUAUAUCUUCCAAAACACAAAAAAGAUAAUAAUUCAUAUAAUAUGCAUAACAAUGAGCAUGUUGAUAUAUUUGAUAGUUUAAAUUUUGAUAUAGACAACAAUCAAUUUAAUGGGUUGGGCACACAAAAGGAUGAUGUUUUUGGUGGCGUUUUUGUUGAUAGUGGUGAUGGUGGUAUAAGUGGUAUAAGUGGUACAAAUGGUACAAGUGGUACAAGUGGUGGUAAUGCUACUCCAGAUAUUAAUCACGUCCCGAACUUAAUGAACAAAGAUUAUAUACCCUUAUCACCACCACCAAAAAAAGAAGAAAAUAUGUUCAAAAAUAACAAGGGAGAUGUUAAAAAUAAUGACAUAGAACCUGUGUUAAACAAUAACAACGUACAUAAUAGUAACCAAGUUAAAAAUGAAAAUAAUAUUUCAAAUAUAGUUAAAACAAGUGAACAACAAGUGAUAAAGGAAAAAUCUACUACAGUUGAUUUAAUUGUCGAACAUACUCAUGAUGAAAAUCAAACAUUAGUAGCAAAUAAAAAUAGUGAAAAAUCAUUAACAGAACAUGAAGCUAUUACUACCUCUAAUGGCACUAACAAAAAUGAUAGUAACGAUAAUGAUAAUGGUGAUAAACAAAAUGAAAAUGAUGAAAACAGCUUCGAUUCGAAUGACAUAAAUUUUGAUGAAAUCGAUGAAAUAACAAAAGCUAUCGACGAUUUGAAUGACAAUUUUGAACAUAUAAAUAGAUAUAAAUAUAAUAAUUAAAAAUAUGCAUUUUUGUUUUAAUAAUUUUGUAUAUAUAUAUUGUUGUUACUAUAAGUAAAAAAAAAUACUAUUUCAUGUUGUUCGUUUUAUUUUUAUGCACGUAUUUGUGCUGAUAUACAUAUUUAUAUUUGUACAUACAUAUUUAUAUGCAUACAUACAUAUUUAUAUGCAUACAUACAUAUUUAUAUGCAUACAUACAUAUUUAUAUGCAUACAUACAUAUUUAUAUGCAUACAUACAUAUUUAUAUGCAUACAUACAUAUUUAUAUGCAUACAUACAUAUUUAUAUGUAUGUGCAUGUGCAUAUUCCUUCUUUCACACCCCCUUUUUAGUGCUUUAUAAAAAAAUAAAAUAUUCGAUCUUAUAAUUAUUAUAUUUUCA
rnacentral:lncRNA from 1 species